UAAUACGUAGGGCGCAAGCGUUGUCCGGAAUUAUUGGGCGUAAAGAGCUCGUAGGUGGCUUGUCGCGUCGGAUGUGAAAGACUCGGGCUUAACUCGGGUUCUGCAUUCGAUACGGGCUGGCUAGAGGUAGGUAGGGGAGAACGGAAUUCCUGGUGUAGCGGUGAAAUGCGCAGAUAUCAGGAGGAACACCGGUGGCGAAGGCGGUUCUCUGGGCCUUACCUGACGCUGAGGAGCGAAAGCGUGGGGAGCGAACAGGAUUAGAUACCCUGGUAGUCCACGCUGUAAACGUUGGGCGCUAGGUGUGGGGACCUUCCACGGUUUCCGUGCCGGAGCUAACGCAUUAAGCGCCCCGCCUGGGGAGUACGGCCGCAAGGCUA
rnacentral:rRNA from 1 species